GUGCUCACUUCGGCAGCACAUGUACUAAAACUGGAAGAAUACGGAGAAGAUUAGCAUGGCCCCUGUGCAAGGAUGACACACAAAUCUGUGAAACGUCACAUGUUAAA
rnacentral:snRNA from 1 species